rnacentral:sRNA from 1 species
AAAAUAACAACGCAUAAAUCACAUUCUCGAGACAACACAAUUCGAUACGAGGUACCCCUUUGGAUGUAUCCAUGACCAUUGAAGUUUUCGGACAGAAUGGAGAACAAAAUAAAAACGCACAAUCUUGGGUGCGGUGCUUUCCUUGCCCUCGUGGUUGUGGGAAGGGCCGCAAUGAUUGGUCGUACAU